GCGUUGUUCGGAAUUACUGGGCGUAAAGGGUUCGUAGGUGGCCACUUAAGUCAGACGUGAAAUCCCUCAGCUUAACUGGGGAACUGCGUCUGAUACUGAGUGGCUUGAGUGCAGGAGAGGAAUGCGGAAUUCCAGGUGUAGCGGUGAAAUGCGUAGAUAUCAGGAGGAACACCUAUUGCGAAGGCAGCUCGCUGGGACGUAACUGACGCUGAGACGCGAAAGCGUGGGGAGCAAACAGG
rnacentral:rRNA from 1 species